rnacentral:sRNA from 1 species
GUAAUACUCUUACUUGAUGCAUAUUGUUAGUUUUAGUUGUAUUUUUGUUGUUUUCAUCUUCAUAACCAUAUAACUCAAUUGUUCAGUCUAUAAGAGACAUUCACAUAUGGUUAUUUCUUUGACAUAGAUAUAUAGUGUGUUUAUAUAUAGAACAUGUUUGUUUAUACUUUACUUUUUUGUUUCUGAUACUACCCUUACUUGAUGCAUAUUCUAGUAGGUUAGUUAUAGUUUACAUACACAGCACAAAAUCUAAGCAAUAAUUAUCUUGCUGAAAGAUAAGUGAAAUGUAAUGCAACUUGAUCACGAAAUACGCUAUAGACUAUAAUCUCUGCAUGCCAUUUUACAAUUCAUCCAUUUCUUUCUUUGAAAUGUGUACAUGUUCUAAAUAUGAAAAGAACAUACUGCCAAAUAAUUUGUGCCAAAUUUUCAUUGCCAUUGUCAAUAUACCAGUUGACAUUCAGUUCAUCUUAGAAAAACUAAUUCUCCCAAUCCACUCUAAUAACAUAACCAAAAUAAAAAACCUUUGUGUAAAUCAUUAUAUUGUUAUCUAUUCUUUAUAUAUAUCUCAUAAUACAUAAACUUCCAUUAUUUUGUUUAUCUCUAUUUUCCAAACUGAUAUACUCUCAAAUAUACAAGAUUCUGUAUUGUUAUUUAAAAGUUCUUCAUCUUUUAUCAAACCUAGCUAUGUGUUCAAUAAACAUUUGCCUCUUG